GACGAACGCUGGCGGCGUGCUUAACACAUGCAAGUCGAACGGUAAGGCCCUUCGGGGUACACGAGUGGCGAACGGGUGAGUAACGCGUGAGUAACCUGCCCUUCACUCUGGGAUAACAGUUGGAAACGGCUGCUAAUACCGGAUAUUCAGCUCCUGUCGCAUGGUGGGGGUUGGAAAGUUUUGGUGGUGGAGGAUGGGCUCGCGUCCUAUCAGCUUGUUGGUGGGGUGAUGGCCUACCAAGGCGUCGACGGGUAGCCGGCCUGAGAGGGCGACCGGCCACAUUGGGACUGAGAUACGGCCCGACCUCCUACGGGAGGCAGCAGUGGGGAAUAUUGCACAAUGGGCGGAAGCCUGAUGCAGCAACGCCGCGUGCGGGAUGACUGCCUUCGGGUUGUAAACCGCUUGCAGCAGGGACGAAGCGCAAGUGACGGUACCUGCAGAAGAAGCACCGGCUAACUACGUG
rnacentral:rRNA from 1 species